rnacentral:rRNA from 1 species
AUUGAACGCUGGCGGCAGGCUUAACACAUGCAAGUCGAGCGGAGAUGAGGUGCUUGCACCUUAUCUUAGCGGCGGACGGGUGAGUAAUGCGUAGGAAGCUACCCGAUAGAGGGGGAUACCAGUUGGAAACGACUGUUAAUACCGCAUAAUGUCUACGGACCAAAGUGUGGGACCUUCGGGCCACAUGCUAUCGGAUGCGCCUACGUGGGAUUAGCUAGUUGGUGGGGUAAUGGCUCACCAAGGCGACGAUCCCUAGCUGGUUUGAGAGGAUGAUCAGCCACACUGGAACCGAGACACGGUCCAGACUCCUACGGGAGGCAGCAGUGGGGAAUAUUGGACAAUGGGCGCAAGCCUGAUCCAGCCAUGCCGCGUGUGUGAAGAAGGCCUUCGGGUUGUAAAGCACUUUCAGUAGGGAGGAAGGGUGUUGUGUUAAUAGCACAGCAUUUUGACGUUACCUACAGAAGAAGCACCGGCUAACUCUGUGCCAGCCGCCGCGGUAAGAC